rnacentral:rRNA from 1 species
GACGAACGCUGGCGGCGUGCCUAAUACAUGCAAGUUGAGCGCUUAAGGUUGGUACUUGUACCAAAUGGAUGAGCAGCGAACGGGUGAGUAACGCGUGGGGAAUCUGCCUUUGAGCGGGGGACAACAUUUGGAAACGAAUGCUAAUACCGCAUAAAAACUUUAAACACAAGUUUUAAGUUUGAAAGAUGCAAUUGCAUCACUCAAAGAUGAUCCCGCGUUGUAUUAGCUAGUCGGUGAGGUAAAGGCUCACCAAGGCGAUGAUACAUAGCCGACCUGAGAGGGUGAUCGGCCACAUUGGGACUGAGACACGGCCCAAACUCCUACGGGAGGCAGCAGUAGGGAAUCUUCGGCAAUGGACGAAAGUCUGACCGAGCAACGCCGCGUGAGUGAAGAAGGUUUUCGGAUCGUAAAACUCUGUUGGUAGAGAAGAACGUUGGUGAGAGUGGAAAGCUCAUCAAGUGACGGUAACUACCCAGAAAGGGACGGCUAACUACGUG